rnacentral:lncRNA from 1 species
GCGGAUGGGCGACCAGUGUAGCGGUGUCUGGAGCUGUGGUUGGACCCAUUAGUUGGGGCUGCUAAUCAGUUCACCAUGCAGGCUGUGGGCCAAGCCACUGAAGGGAUGCACCUGGACUAGGAGUGACUGGGCUGGGAAAUGUACAAUGUCCAGUAUAGAAACAAAAACUUUCAAACAUUGAAGAAAAAAGAUAAAAAGAAACUGACCCAAGAUGACUCAAAUACAAGAACAGACCAGAUAACGAUAUAAAAAUAAUUACAAUAAAUAUGCUCAAAGAUUUAUAAGAAAUAAUGGAAAGAAUGCAUGAAGGCCUGAGAAUUGUAUCUGAAAUAAAAAAUAUACAAGAUGGUUUUACAGCAGAAUGAAUAAAGCAGAAGAAAAGAACAGUGAACUGGUAUACAGGUUAAAAAAAAAAUUAACCAAAUGAAAGAGUGAGAAAAACCCUGAAAAACUGAAAAAGACUACAGAGAAUGUCGAUGAUCUAUGGGACAAUACCAAGUCACUAAUAUAUGUGUACCUGGAAUCCAAAAAGGAGAAGAGAGAGAGAAUGAAGUAAAAAAAAAUUAAAAAAAUAUUGACCUUAAG